CCAGGAAUCCUGGCUUGUCUUCACAGCCCUGUGAAGAGCGGUGACAAUCACUGCUCUGAUCUGUGCCUCAGUUUCCCAGUCUGUUAGUGGUGAUAACAGUACAGCAGUGAUAACAGUGCAGUGGUGAUAACAGGACUGAGCUACCCUGGGGGAUGAUCUGUGAGUGAAUUCACGUCGAGGUGUUAAAGCAGAAUUAAUUGGUAGCCUCUGUCGAGCGCUCAGAGAUUCCACGAUAGCAAGCAGCGAGUGGCGAGCCAAAGUUCCGUGUGCAGUGCAAAGCCCUCUGCGUGGCUCCAGAGGAAAGUCACACUUUGAUUAAGACAAGUGCUCAGCAGUCACGUAAUGUUUCCAGGUGCGCAGCAGUCCGUGUGGGCAGGGUGGAGUAGCUUCCCAGCUGCAAAUGUCUUCAAGCAAUAUGUAAAGAGAGAAGCCAGGGCUAAUGUUCUCUAGGAGACCCCCACAUGUUGCAUGUGACGACAGAGAAAAGGGAAAAAAACUCAAAGAAACAGAACAAAGUGGCUUGUUGCAUGUAACAUUUUAGUGCUGAAGUGUUUUAGCCAUAAACUGGUAAGAGCUAUGGAGCGUGGCUCUGGAGAGAAACCUAGAGAGUGCAAAUCAUCACACAAAGUCUGCAGGGAGGGUAAGAUCAAGGACUGGAAGGAAGUGCCUGGAGUGAGGGGCAGGAGCAAAGAAGGGUGCAAGGGGAGGAAGGAGCACAUGUAGGUCUGAGUGAGGCCUCAGAAGACCAGAACUGUUCAUGGACAGGGGAUGGUGCCUCUAGCAUAGCAGAGUGCAGGUGAUGGGAAGAAAGAGGAUGCUCAGCGCUGGCAAGUCUGUUCUGCACCUGUUUGCGCAAGAUUUGCUGUGUGCUAUGCAGGUCACCCUGAGGAGCUGGGGUCGCCCAGUCCAUGGUGGCUGUGCUGUGCCUUAGAUCGGGAUGCUCUGCUUGUAACCCCCUCUUCUGCACAUAGCAGGUCCCUGAGGCAGCCAGGCACCCACCUCGCCCCCCAUCCCCAUGGCUUCUGCCACCAAAGAUGGAGCCUCUCUCCCCUGAGACCGAAGCAAUGUGGCAAUGCUCUCAGACCUUGGCUUGUAACAGCAGUAACCUCCGAGCUGCUGACUGUUGCUCAGCAAUAAACACCACUUGUGCUAUUAAUAAACACUAUCUGUCAGCCUUGGUAUUUUUAAUGCCGGGACACUGUGCCCUGGCGUGUGGAGCCACUCGGAGACUGAAGGCCGGAUUCAGAGACGAGUCUAAACUGGCGUAAGGCACUGCAUUGAGCAGCCCUGCAUCUUGCGCCUGUCACAAGGUGGAAGGUCUCUGCUGUCCUUGGUGCAUUAGGCAGGAUCCAAGUUCCUCCCCACAAGGAAUUUCCUCUUCCACUCAUUGCAAUUCCAAGGUACUGAGACUCAGAGACAGCCUGUACCUGCUCUCAUAGCCUGCCAUAGACCUAACAGGAUCUCUGGACCUGUGUAAGUCAGUGAAAAUACUUCAGCUUUAUCCCCAUGAUGUGCCAGUUCAUUUAGCUGAAUCAGCAAGGGAAUGCUACCUACUUACACAGUGUCUUUGGACUCACAGUCCUGGUAUAGGAGGUUUCAAGCUCCUCUGUGCACAGAGGUCAUCAAGAAGUCCUGGUGGGAUCAAUGCCCCUGAGCAGGGUCCCUAUGUUCUGCCCACCAUGUGUCACUCCUCUUCCUGCAGCCUGGAAGAAAAAUAGGAAGGGAAAGGAAAAAGAAGCGUGUAUGGGUGCCAGUCUUGCUGUACUGAAGCUCCCAUCUGCUUCCACCUGGCUGUGGUGCGUGCCAUCCCUGCCUCGAACUGGUGUGUUCUCUGCUGGGGUUAGCCUAUGCCCAGGCAGGGCCGGAGGGGGCUGGUGCCAUGUCGCAAGGGCUCUGCAUGGGAGAGGGUCCGAGCCGGCGGGAAGGAGCCGGCUCCACUCGCAGCCUCCAGCGCUGGCCCUGGCAGCGCAGCUCGGGUGGGAGGGGAUGAGAGCCUCCUUCCACUCCUGCCGGUUUCCCAGUGGUCUAAUUCAGAGCUGCUUCUGGGAUGGGGCCAGUGCCAGACACUGCGGGGAAGAGGGGCAGGAAAUGUGGAUGCAGCUAACACUCAGGUGUUACUUCAUGCCCAGCAAGACAGCAAGAACAUGGAGGCUGCUAGAUUCCAGAUGGGAAAGUCUGCAAAGACCCUGGAGAGAAAACUGCCAGCCAGCAGUCACCAGGACUUGUGGAAGAGAAGACUGGCAGAAAUGUUAUUAUUGGUACCGAGCAAGAAUUAAGCAGAAAUUGGACUAAAAGUGCCUGAGGAUCCCUGUGGGCAAUAAGAGGAGCAAAAUCCAGGGGUAGGAGUCAGCAGCAGGGAAGACGCCCAUCUGGUGCAGACAUCGGCGUUCCCCUCGAGACAAAGAUUUUUGGGUGAAUCACUGCCGCUGGGAGCCGCUGCGAUCAGAAAGCAUGAAGCAGUUCCCUUAGGCAGCUAUCGCCCAGCUGGGGAAUUGGUUUGGAGAAGAGGGCUGAAAGUCUGGAUUUGACCCCAGAUUUGAUACAGAGCUGGUGCAGAGAUUCAGAGUCUGGUGUUUGAAGUUGGUGCCCAACCCAGAGUUAGGGGGACUAAAUUCAGGGGUGGUUGCCUCUGGAAAGGCUGCAUCAAAAUGUGAACCCGACGGGAAAGAAGUGCUGUCUCCUUGCCAAAAGAUGCUUUAUUGCUAUUCAUCUGCAGCAUGGUUAGGUGCCAGCCAAGACUGGGACUCUGCUGCUUGAGGCAAUGUUCAUUCAGAGCAGCAGAUAUGAAUCUCACAGAUGUGGCUAUUUCAGUGUCUAGAAGCGAUGAGGAGCUGGGGAAACACCAAGGCCAUGGGUUGUCCUAACAUGCCAAAAAAUUGGGCCAGUGAUGUAAGUUCUUCUUAGCCUGUUAAUUUUCAGGGUGAGGCCCUCAACUUUUCCCUGGGAAGAGGAAUUCUGAAAGAUAUUUGCAAGUCAAAUCAGUAUUUUUUUGGACUUUCCUUACAAAAUGGAUUCUCAGAGAGUUUCCAGUUUGGGAUCUUGGGUUUUGCAUUUUGUAUUUCAUU